UACGAAGGGUGCAAACGUUGCUCGGAAUCACUGGGCGUAAAGCGCACGUAGGCGGAUUGCUAAGUCAGGGGUGAAAUCCUGGAGCUCAACUCCAGAACUGCCUUUGAUACUGGCGAUCUCGAGUCCGGGAGAGGUGAGUGGAACUGCGAGUGUAGAGGUGAAAUUCGUAGAUAUUCGCAAGAACACCAGUGGCGAAGGCGGCUCACUGGCCCGGUACUGACGCUGAGGUGCGAAAGCGUGGGGAGCAAACAGG
rnacentral:rRNA from 1 species